GAUGAACGCUGGCGGCGUGCCUAAUACAUGCAAGUCGAGCGAACAGACGAGGAGCUUGCUCCUUCGACGUUAGCGGCGGACGGGUGAGUAACACGUAGGUAACCUACCUAUAAGACUGGGAUAACUUCGGGAAACCGGAGCUAAUACCGGAUAAUAUUUCGCACCUCAUGGUUCGCUAGUGAAAGAUGGCUUUUCUAUCACUUAUAGAUGGACCUGCGCCGUAUUAGCUAGUUGGUAAGGUAACGGCUUACCAAGGCAACGAUACGUAGCCGACCUGAGAGGGUGAUCGGCCACACUGGAACUGAGACACGGUCCAGACUCCUACGGGAGGCAGCAGUAGGGAAUCUUACGCAAUGGGCGAAAGCCUGACGUAGCAACGCCGCGUGAGUGAUGAAGGUCUUCGGAUCGUAAAACGCUGUUAUUAGGGAAGAACAAACGUGUAAGUAACUGUGCACGUCUUGACGGUACCUAAUCAGAAAGCCACGGCUAACUACGUG
rnacentral:rRNA from 1 species